AUGAAUCCAAGCUACCGUCGUAGAUCAGAAAGUGACUAUGAAUUUAUUCAUUUUGUACUUCCUACUUUAGAAGAUGCAUCACAAUCUUCUUCUAGUAAGAAACCAAUGCAUACAUCAAAACUUUCGGGGGCUUGGCGUGUUCAGGAGAUUUUAACAGGGCAUGAAAGCUUAUGCAAAAGGACUUUCCGCAUGGAAGUGGACAUUUUUCAAGCACUUGUUGACAAGUUGCGUGAGAAAAAACUCCUUGCUGAUUCAAAAGUACUAGCAGUAGAAGAGCAAGUGGCAAUAUUUUUGUAUGCAGUAUCCAAAAAUGCAACAAAUGAAACCCUACAGGAUUGGUUUCAGCAUAGUGCAGAAACAAUAAGCCGGCGAUUUGGAUUAGUGCUUGAUGCGAUCACACGGCUCACAAAUGUCUAUAUACGUCCACCUUCCCUCAACCCACAUCCAAUCUUGAGCAAACCACAAUUUUACCCUUUCUUUCAGGUAUGA
rnacentral:rRNA from 1 species